CUACUAGGGUUUCUAAUCCUGUUUGCUACCCACGCUUUCGUACCUCAGCGUCAGAUAAUGGCCAGAAAGUCGCCUUCGCCACCGGUAUUCUUCCUAAUAUCUGCGCAUUCCACCGCUACACUAGGAAUUCCACUUUCCCUUCCAUUUCUCAAGCUAAAUAGUUUUAGAAGCUUACUAUAGUUGAGCUAUAGCCUUUGACUUCUAACUUUUCUAGCCGCCUACGUACCCUUUACGCCCAAUGAUUCCGGACAACGCUCGGUCCUUACGUAUUACCGCGGCUGCUGGCAC
rnacentral:rRNA from 1 species